UACAGAGGGUGCGAGCGUUGUCCGGAAUCACUGGGCGUAAAGGGCGCGUAGGUGGUGGCUUAAGCGUGCGGUGAAAGCUCGGAGCUCAACUCCGAGUCGGCCGUGCGAACUGGGCUCACUGGAGCAUAGUAGAGGCAGGUGGAAUUCCUGGUGGAGCGGUGAAAUGCGCAGAGAUCAGGAGGAACACCCGUAGCGAAGGCGGCACUCUGGGCCGAUACUGACACUGAGGAGCGAAAGCGUGGGGAGCGAACAGG
rnacentral:rRNA from 1 species